rnacentral:rRNA from 1 species
GAUGAACGCUGGCGGCGUGCCUAAUACAUGCAAGUCGAGCGAACGGACGAGAAGCUUGCUUCUCUGAUGUUAGCGGCGGACGGGUGAGUAACACGUGGAUAACCUACCUAUAAGACUGGGAUAACUUCGGGAAACCGGAGCUAAUACCGGAUAAUAUUUUGAACCGCAUGGUUCAAAAGUGAAAGACGGUCUUGCUGUCACUUAUAGAUGGAUCCGCGCUGCAUUAGCUAGUUGGUAAGGUAACGGCUUACCAAGGCAACGAUGCAUAGCCGACCUGAGAGGGUGAUCGGCCACACUGGAACUGAGACACGGUCCAGACUCCUACGGGAGGCAGCAGUAGGGAAUCUUCCGCAAUGGGCGAAAGCCUGACGGGGCAACGCCGCGUGAGUGAUGAAGGUCUUCGGAUCGUAAAACUCUGUUAUUAGGGAAGAACAUAUGUGUAAGUAACUGUGCACAUCUUGACGGUACCUAAUCAGAAAGCCACGGCUAACUACGUGCCAGCAGCCGCGGUAAUACGUAGGUGGCAAGCGUUAUCCGGAAUUAUUGGGCGUAAAGCGCGCGUAGGCGGUUUUUUAAGUCUGAUGUGAAAGCCCACGGCUCAACCGUGGAGGGUCAUUGGAAACUGGAAAACUUGAGUGCAGAAGAGGAAAGUGGAAUUCCAUGUGUAGCGGUGAAAUGCGCAGAGAUAUGGAGGAACACCAGUGGCGAAGGCGACUUUCUGGUCUGUAACUGACGCUGAUGUGCGAAAGCGUGGGGAUCAAACAGGAUUAGAUACCCUGGUAGUCCACGCCGUAAACGAUGAGUGCUAAGUGUUAGGGGGUUUCCGCCCCUUAGUGCUGCAGCUAACGCAUUAAGCACUCCGCCUGGGGAGUACGACCGCAAGGUUGAAACUCAAAGGAAUUGACGGGGACCCGCACAAGCGGUGGAGCAUGUGGUUUAAUUCGAAGCAACGCGAAGAACCUUACCAAAUCUUGACAUCCUUUGACAACUCUAGAGAUAGAGCCUUCCCCUUCGGGGGGGCAAAGUGACAGGUGGUGCAUGGUUGUCGUCAGCUCGUGUCGUGAGAUGUUGGGUUAAGUCCCGCAACGAGCGCAACCCUUAAGCUUAGUUGCCAUCAUUAAGUUGGGCACUCUAAGUUGACUGCCGGUGACAAACCGGAGGAAGGUGGGGAUGACGUCAAAUCAUCAUGCCCCUUAUGAUUUGGGCUACACACGUGCUACAAUGGACAAUACAAAGGGCAGCGAAACCGCGAGGUCAAGCAAAUCCCAUAAAGUUGUUCUCAGUUCGGAUUGUAGUCUGCAACUCGACUACAUGAAGCUGGAAUCGCUAGUAAUCGUAGAUCAGCAUGCUACGGUGAAUACGUUCCCGGGUCU